AACAUGGUGGCUGAGUGGUAAAGCGCUUGGCUUCCAAACCAAGUGGUCCCGGGUUU
rnacentral:tRNA from 1 species